rnacentral:rRNA from 1 species
UACAGAGGUCUCAAGCGUUGUUCGGAUUCAUUGGGCGUAAAGGGUGCGUAGGCGGCGCGGUAAGUCGGGUGUGAAAUCUCGGAGCUUAACUCCGAAACUGCAUUCGAUACUGGCGUGCUUGAGGACUGGAGAGGAGACUGGAAUUCAUGGUGUAGCAGUGAAAUGCGUAGAGAUCAUGAGGAAGACCAGUGGCGAAGGCGGGUCUCUGGACAGUUCCUGACACUGAGACACGAAGGCUAGGGGGAGCAAACGGGG